rnacentral:tRNA from 1 species
GCGGGAAUAGUUCAGUGGUAGAGCGCAACCUUGCCAAGGUUGAAGGUGAGGGUUCGAUCCCCUUCACCCGCUCCA